rnacentral:rRNA from 1 species
GUCUACGGUCAUACCACCCUGAACGCACCUGAUCUUGUCUGAUCUUGGAAGCUAAGCAGGGUCGGGCCUUGUUAGUACUUGGAUGGGAGAUUUGAGUUAGAGAUAUUAGUGUGAACU